GGUUGAGAGGAUCUGAGUGCUACAUAGGAGGAUCUGACUGAGUAGUCCUUCCCUCCCAGAACAGAAAAAAGAGAAGAGGCCCAAGAACACACAUAUACUCACGAAUCUGGAGGAGAGACAGACGAGGCUGGGAAGAGACCAAUGAAAGGGCAUCAAAAAGGCCAGUAAGGGUGUUCGGUUGACGCUACUGCUUUGGAGAGCACUGUGGCUGAUCAUGACUCAGAGCACCACUACUGGAAGGAGAUACGGCUUGGAGGAAAUG
rnacentral:lncRNA from 1 species